UACGUAGGGGGCAAGCGUUGUCCGGAAUUAUUGGGCGUAAAGAGCGCGUAGGCGGUCCGAUAAGUCGGCUGUGAAAGUCAGGGGCUCAACCCUUGGAAGCCGGCCGAUACUGUCGGACUAGAGUCCGGAAGAGGCGAGUGGAAUCCCGGUGUAGCGGUGAAAUGCGCAGAUAUCGGGGAGGAACAUCUGUGGCGAAGGCGGCCACCUGGACCAGCACUGACACUGAGGCACGAAAGCGUGGGGAGCAAACAGGG
rnacentral:rRNA from 1 species